rnacentral:rRNA from 1 species
AUGGGGUGCAGCAGGCGCGAAACCUUUACACUGCACGCGAGUGCGAUAAGGGGACUCCGAGUGCGAGGGCAUAUAGUCCUCGCUUUUCACCACCGUAAGGUGGUGGUGGAAUAAGUGCUGGGCAAGACCGGUGCCAGCCGCCGCGGUAAUACCGGCAGCACGAGUGAUGACCGCUAUUAUUGGGCCUAAAGCGUCCGUAGCUGGCCACGCAAGUCUAUCGGGAAAUCUGCGCGCUUAACGCGCAGGCGUCCGGUGGAAACUGUGUGGCUUGGGACCGGAAGACCAGAGGGGUACGUCCGGGGUAGGAGUGAAAUCCCGUAAUCCUGGACGGACCACCGGUGGCGAAAGCGCCUCUGGAAGACGGAUCCGACGGUGAGGGACGAAAGCUCGGGUCACGAACCGGAUUAGAUACCCGGGUAGUCCGAGCUGUAAACGAUGUCUGCUAGGUGUGGCACAGGCUACGAGCCUGUGCUGUGCCGUAGGGAAGCCGAGAAGCAGACCGCCUGGGAAGUACGUCCGCAAGGAUGAAACUUAAAGGAAUUGGCGGGGGAGCAC